UGGCUCAGACGGUAAAGUGUCUGUCUGCAAUGCAGGAGACCCGGGUUCAAUCCCUGG
rnacentral:tRNA from 1 species